CUUGUCAUGUUCGAACACAACAAAAGAGGGAUCUCAAACUAUGUUUAGUUGAUAUCAUAUCGGCGAACUUAGCUUAUUUUAUACUGUCCUUAAAUGGUUCAUACUGUUCUGCAGUUAAACAUAGUUUGGAAGAUGUAGAUUUAUCUUUUCUUUUAAAUAUCAUCACUGUGCAUCGGAAGAAAGAAGCCAGUUAGCCGCCGCUGCCGAGUUGUUGACUGACGGGAUUUAGUCACAGGCCAUCUGAGGACACUUGUGAAAUUAUGUAGACAGAAACGUGUGCCAAGGUUGCGUACAAUCAGUGUAUAUGCCACCGGGAAAACGAAGGAAAGUUUCUCAGGAUGAAAACAGUGUUCGGGACGGUGUUGGAAGUCGGGUAGCACCAUCCACUGCUGAGGAAAAAGGUUGUCAAGAGGAGGAAAAUGUCAGCCCAAAUUCAACCAGUGCAGAUAGGCGCAUACGGCAAUCGACUAAGGUCGAUGUGCCUGAGGUUACAGGGGAUGAUGGGAAGGGGACCACCCUCAGGUGACCACUGCUAAACGGUCAAGUACACGGGUAGUGAAGAAGACAAGGCGAGAUAUUAGUCCACAGUGGUCACCUGUCAAGAAGACCUCCUCUGUUCAGUCCAAGUUGAGUACACCAGAGGCCAAGACAAAACGCCAGUGGGAACAAUGGAUGGAAGAAGACAUCAAGACCUUCUUUGAUGCCUUGUUUGAG